rnacentral:rRNA from 1 species
UACGUAGGGUGCAGGCGUUAAUCGGAAUUACUGGGCGUAAAGCGUGUGUAGGCGGUUCGCAAAGUCGGAUGUGAAAGCCCCGGGCUCAACCUGGGAAGUGCACUCGAUACUGGCGAACUUGAGUAUCGGAGAGGUUGGUGGAAUUCUCGGUGGAGAGGUGAAAUUCGUAGAUAUCGAGGGGAACACCAGUGGCGAAGGCGGCCAACUGGACGAAUACUGACG